CCAGAAUGAAAUAUUCAGGUAUGUAGAUGCAGUAAGCAUAGCACAUAUAAAAGCAGGAUAGCUAAAAAGAAACCCAUAACUAGAACCAUUAGAGUAAACUCCAUAACACCAAGAUAAAGUCUUUAAAGAAGCCUAAGGAAUUUAAAGAAAUCAUCUAUGUAGAAAAUCGAAAAUAAUCAAUUAAAAAACUGGAACCAGAAGGGGCCUGAGUGAUAGACCUUCAGCAGGGCUGUAGCUACCAUCUUUUCUCACACGGGCAUUGCUGGGCUGUCGGUCUGGACCUUGCAGCUGCAAUCGAUUCAAGUUCAAAAUAUGGCAACUUUGAAAGGUAUUACAAGGCAACUAAAGUUCAUCUAAAACAUCCAGAAAAUUACCAAGUCUAUGAAAAUCGUAGCAGCAGCAAAAUAUACCUGAGCUGAGAGAGAGUUGAAACAUGCUCGAAUAUAUAGAUUGGGAUCUUUGGUUCUGUAUUAAAAAGCUGGUAUUAAGGAGCCUGAAGACAAGAAGAAACAUCUCCUUAUUGGUAUGUCCUCAGAUUGAGGAAUGUAUGGUGCUAUUCAUUCCUCCACUGCUAAACAGAUGAAAAGCGAGGUUGCUACACUAACAGUAGCUUGGAAAGAAGUUAUGCUUGAUGAAAUUGUUGACAAAAUCAGAGGCAUACUUUAUAGGACUCAUUCUGACCAGUUUCUAGUGGCAUUCAAAGAAAUGGGAAGAAAGCCUCCUACUUUUGGAGAUGUGUCAGUCAUUGCUUUUGAAUUACUCAAUUUUGUAUAUGAAUUUGAUGAAGUCUCCAUCAACUUUAAUCGAUUCAGGUCUGUCAUCUAUAAGACAGAAGAAAAGCCCAUCUUCUCCCUUAAUACCACUGAAAGUGCUGAGAGCACGAGUAUCUAAAUGAUAUGGAUGCUGAUGUGCUGCAAAAUUACCAAGAAUACAAUCUGGACAACAUCAUCUACUACUCUCUGAAAGAGUCCACCACUAGUGAGCAGAGUGCCAGGAAGACAGCCAUGGACAAUGCCAGCAAGAAUGCUUCUGAGAUGAUUGACAAAUUGACAUUGACAUUCAACCGUACUGGCCAAGCUGUCAUCACAAAAGAGUUGAUCGAAAUUAUCUCUGGUGCUGAACCUCUGGAUUAAUGAAAACAAAGUUCCAUCCUCAGAGAAGAGGUAAGGAAGGAAAAUUCAGCCAGGUGAUUUUGUUUUUAGCUUACUGCUGUCUUUGCCAAAAGUGUUCCUCCAUUGUUUGAAUUACUGCAGACAGCAA